GCUGCAGAAGAGGCAAGGCGGAGAGGAGGGGAAAGAAGCAUCUGAACGGCUAAAUUGUGCCAGCAGCGCUGAGAGCGAGAGUCGCGAGACCGUGCUGAGGACGUGGUUGUCUGUCCUUCCCCCGGGGAUGCCGUUGACUGCGGCCGUCUCAGGCUUGCGUGGCUUCUCUCUGCCCGGCGUUGCCAUCCUCGCAGCGCGGGGGUGAAAAGGGACACACAGAGCCCUUCCCGGCUGUGGACAGGAGCUGCCUCGGCUGAAGCUGGAGACGCCAACGAAAGGUGCAGGACGGCCUAGAGUCUGGAGCUGCAGAAGAGGCAGGGCGGAGAGGAGGGGAAAGAAGCAUCUGAACGGCUAAAUUGUGCCAGCAGCGCUGAGAGCGAGAGUCGCGAGACCGUGCUGAGGACGUGGUUGUCUGUCCUUCCCCCGGGGAUGCCGUUGACUGCGGCCGUCUCAGGCUUGCGUGGCUUCUCUCUGCCCGGCGUUGCCAUCCUCGCAGCGCGGGGGUGAAAAGGGACACACAGAGCCCUUCCCGGCUGUGGACAGGAGCUGCCUCGGCUGAAGCUGGAGACGCCAACGAAAGGUGCAGGACGGCCUAGAGUCUGGAGCUGCAGAAGAGGCAGGGCGGAGAGGAGGGGAAAGAAGCAUCUGAACGGCUAAAUUGUGCCAGCAGCGCUGAGAGCGAGAGUCGCGAGACCGUGCUGAGGACGUGGUUGUCUGUCCUUCCCCCGGGGAUGCCGUUGACUGCGGCCGUCUCAGGCUUGCGUGGCUUCUCUCUGCCCGGCGUUGCCAUCCUCGCAGCGCGGGGGUGAAAAGGGACACACAGAGCCCUUCCCGGCUGUGGACAGGAGCUGCCUCGGCUGAAGCUGGAGACGCCAACGAAAGGUGCAGGACGGCCUAGAGUCUGGAGCUGCAGAAGAGGCAGGGCGGAGAGGAGGGGAAAGAAGCAUCUGAACGGCUAAAUUGUGCCAGCAGCGCUGAGAGCGAGAGUCGCGAGACCGUGCUGAGGACGUGGUUGUCUGUCCUUCCCCCGGGGAUGCCGUUGACUGCGGCCGUCUCAGGCUUGCGUGGCUUCUCUCUGCCCGGCGUUGCCAUCCUCGCAGCGCGGGGGUGAAAAGGGACACACAGAGCCCUUCCCGGCUGUGGACAGGAGCUGCCUCGGCUGAAGCUGGAGACGCCAACGAAAGGUGCAGGACGGCCUAGAGUCUGGAGCUGCAGAAGAGGCAGGGCGGAGAGGAGGGGAAAGAAGCAUCUGAACGGCUAAAUUGUGCCAGCAGCGCUGAGAGCGAGAGUCGCGAGACCGUGCUGAGGACGUGGUUGUCUGUCCUUCCCCCGGGGAUGCCGUUGACUGCGGCCGUCUCAGGCUUGCGUGGCUUCUCUCUGCCCGGCGUUGCCAUCCUCGCAGCGCGGGGGUGAAAAGGGACACACAGAGCCCUUCCCGGCUGUGGACAGGAGCUGCCUCGGCUGAAGCUGGAGACGCCAACGAAAGGUGCAGGACGGCCUAGAGUCUGGAGCUGCAGAAGAGGCAGGGCGGAGAGGAGGGGAAAGAAGCAUCUGAACGGCUAAAUUGUGCCAGCAGCGCUGAGAGCGAGAGUCGCGAGACCGUGCUGAGGACGUGGUUGUCUGUCCUUCCCCCGGGGAUGCCGUUGACUGCGGCCGUCUCAGGCUUGCGUGGCUUCUCUCUGCCCGGCGUUGCCAUCCUCGCAGCGCGGGGGUGAAAAGGGACACACAGAGCCCUUCCCGGCUGUGGACAGGAGCUGCCUCGGCUGAAGCUGGAGACGCCAACGAAAGGUGCAGGACGGCCUAGAGUCUGGAGCUGCAGAAGAGGCAGGGCGGAGAGGAGGGGAAAGAAGCAUCUGAACGGCUAAAUUGUGCCAGCAGCGCUGAGAGCGAGAGUCGCGGUGCAGGACGGCCUAGAGUCUGGAGCUGCAGAAGAGGCAGGGCGGAGAGGAGGGGAAAGAAGCAUCUGAACGGCUAAAUUGUGCCAGCAGCGCUGAGAGCGAGAGUCGCGAGACCGUGCUGAGGACGUGGUUGUCUGUCCUUCCCCCGGGGAUGCCGUUGACUGCGGCCGUCUCAGGCUUGCGUGGCUUCUCUCUGCCCGGCGUUGCCAUCCUCGCAGCGCGGGGGUGAAAAGGGACACACAGAGCCCUUCCCGGCUGUGGACAGGAGCUGCCUCGGCUGAAGCUGGAGACGCCAACGAAAGGUGCAGGACGGCCUAGAGUCUGGAGCUGCAGAAGAGGCAGGGCGGAGAGGAGGGGAAAGAAGCAUCUGAACGGCUAAAUUGUGCCAGCAGCGCUGAGAGCGAGAGUCGCGAGACCGUGCUGAGGACGUGGUUGUCUGUCCUUCCCCCGGGGAUGCCGUUGACUGCGGCCGUCUCAGGCUUGCGUGGCUUCUCUCUGCCCGGCGUUGCCAUCCUCGCAGCGCGGGGGUGAAAAGGGACACACAGAGCCCUUCCCGGCUGUGGACAGGAGCUGCCUCGGCUGAAGCUGGAGACGCCAACGAAAGGUGCAGGACGGCCUAGAGUCUGGAGCUGCAGAAGAGGCAGGGCGGAGAGGAGGGGAAAGAAGCAUCUGAACGGCUAAAUUGUGCCAGCAGCGCUGAGAGCGAGAGUCGCGGUGCAGGACGGCCUAGAGUCUGGAGCUGCAGAAGAGGCAGGGCGGAGAGGAGGGGAAAGAAGCAUCUGAACGGCUAAAUUGUGCCAGCAGCGCUGAGAGCGAGAGUCGCGGUGAGUCCUGGGCCACUGGGGCCCCGUUGCCUCUCUUGUGCGUCCUGGGCCCUCCCUGUCUCUCCCCUGGCCCCCUCUCUUUCCUUACCUGCUGCAAAAUGUUUUUUU